rnacentral:rRNA from 1 species
UACGGAGGGGGCUAGCGUUGGUCGGAAUUACUGGGCGUAAAGGGCGCGCAGGCGGCUGCUCAAGUCAGGCGUGAAAGGCCUGGGCUCAACCCGGGAAUUGCGCUUGAGACUGGGCUGGCUUGAGUGCGGGAGAGGAUGGUGGAAUUCCCAGUGUAGAGGUGAAAUUCGUAGAUAUUGGGAAGAACACCGGAGGCGAAGGCGGCCAUCUGGACCGCAACUGACGCUGAGGCGCGAAAGCGCGGGGAGCAAACAGG